AUACGGAGGAUCCGAGCGUUAUCCGGAUUUAUUGGGUUUAAAGGGUGCGUAGGCGGUUUGCUAAGCGGGAGGUGAAAUGCCGGCGCUCAACGUCGGAAGUGCCUCCCGAACUGGUGGACUUGAAUGACUCUGCCGUGGGAGGAAUGUGUAGUGUAGCGGUGAAAUGCUUAGAGAUUACACAGAACACCGAUUGCGAAGGCAUCUCACGAAGGGUUGAUUGACGCUGAGGCACGAAAGCGUGGGGAUCAAACAGGAUUAGAUACCCUGGUAGUCCACGCAGUAAACGAUGAUGGCUAACCGCUGGGCUUAUCAGUUCAGUGGCCAAGUGAAAGCGAUAAGCCAUCCACCUGGGGAGUACGACCGCAAGGUUGAAACUCAAAGGAAUUGACGGGG
rnacentral:rRNA from 1 species